GUGACCAGCACUGAACACAGACUCACCAUGGAGCCGGGGCUCAGCUGGCUUUUCCUUGUUGUGCUUUUAAAAGGUGUCCAGUGUGAGGUUCAGCUGGUGGAGUCUGGAGGAGGCUUGGUACAGCCUGGGGGAUUCCUGACCCUCUCCUGUGCAAGCUCUGGAUUCACCUUCAGUAACUACUGGAUGUACUGGUUCCGCCAGGCUCCAGGGAAGGGGUUGGAGUGGGUAGCCAGAAUAAGUGGUGGUGGAAUUCAAAACUACGCCAACUCCGUGAAAGGACGAUUCACCAUUUCCAGAGACAAUUCCAAGAACACCGCAUCCCUGCAAAUGAGCAGUUUGAGGUCUGAGGACACAGCCACGUAUUACUGUGCAAGACGCACAGAUUGGUCACACAGUACUGGGACUUCAGUGUAA